AUAUUUGGCCAACACCAUCAAUGACUUCUUACCUCCAUAUGUCUAAAAUCUUGUAAUUCUUUCAGAUCUAGGUUGGAUCCUACCUCCUCAAAUAGACAGCGCUGGUACCUCAUGCUAAAAGGAAGACAUUCACACUCUUAAUACACACAGCACGUUAUCUUACCUCUGAAGGCCAUUAUGACUAUAAGAGAACAGUGUCUCCACUGGGAUUCUCUGCUUCCCACAAUGCCUUGCUAGAUGAAUAUUGCAUGAAUGAUUGAAUGAGGCUGUAUGCAUAAUGAGAUUUCAUCUCCAAAGACUUCAAAUACUCUGGAGGCUAGUAAUACUUGUUCUUUUCCUUCUAGCUUGUUUAAAGAGUGUUCAUGGAAAAACAUCACUAUAUUCAGGGAGCACGAAGAUGCAGGGAGAAUUUUAAAUAGAAGACAAGUGACUGCCAAGUCAAUGCUUUUUACCCUUUCUCAAGGUAUCUACUAUGGGACAAAUGCUAUGCUAGGCACUAGAGACACGGCAAUGAGUAAAGGAGACAAAAAUCUCGGCCAGCAGAGGUCAUGUAUGCUGACAUUUAGCUAGUUCUCCAGUGGCCCCAGAACAGCAAACAUUCUCUGGAUCGGCUGGGAGACGAGAAGGAAACCUUGGAUGGAGCUAGGAGGAAGACCAACAUUUUGGCAAGUUGAUUUGAGGAGGAACACCCUACAAAGGAAACUGAAAUGGAGUUUCCAGGGGAUGAGAAAAUAGGAGGAACGGAAGGUAUCUGGAAAGUUAGGACAAACAUAGAUUCCCAGAAGAAGAGAAGGGUCAGCUAUGCCAAAUAAGCUGAAGGAUAAAGAUUAUGACAAGUGUAAGUUAGAGAACUGUACUUUAGGAUAAUAGGGAAUAAUUCCUGCUGUCUCCAGUAUGGGCAUAGGUAGGCCUGCUCUCUUAGCCUAUGGGGAAGGGCUGUUAUGGGAAUGUUGCAAAAUGUUAAAUCACAUGCUUUGUGGAUAAGAUGCUUUAGGGCGGUGAUUCUUAACCAUAGUUCUGCACCACAAAGGGGAAUGAAGUUUUGCGUAAGGCUUACCUCAGGUUGUUUCGAGAGAGGAGGGGUAGAGAUUCCCCUAGUGCAUCAAGACUGACAGAACCACAGGCAAUUCUGCCCAACCCUCACAGCAUCCUACGUAAGGAUCUACAUCAGUGUGCGUUUCACCAAGCAAAUAAUUUUAGGAACCACUAUCCCACAUCAUAUGGCAAGUAGUAGGGGUGGGAAGAAUUCAUAAAAACAACUAUUCAAGUUAUUUAAGUCAAUGAAAGAGAAUUCCUGGUUUUAUGUGGGACAAGAGGUAGUCGGUGGGAAUGUAGAAAUAGUGAUUAGGAGCAGGGCUUUGGCCACCCUCUGCUUUCCAGCUGUGUGACUUCAAGAAAGCGUGAUUAACCACUUUGUAUCUCAGUUUCACUAUCCAUGGAGUGGGGAUAACACCACCUCUCUCGUGAGUUGUCAAGAAAUUUUCUGAGGAAGUAGGUGUAAAGCUCUUUGCACUGUGCUUCAUACAUAACAAAUGACCAAUAAGGAUGUGCUGUUGCUAUUCUGGGUGUUCAGUGGCUCUUCAUGGCACAAUAUAAAAUGCUCUGGCUUGCCUUCUCAAACCUUUCUGUGUCACUAAUAAUUCCGUAAUUUUCCCAAGGACACUUAGUCUCCCUGUUCCCCUUUCCUUUUCUAUAAAAUCAAGACCAUGUGUCUAGGUCAGUGGUUGUUAAGUUCUGUUCUGAAGGCUUAGUCUGAAGAGAGGAGGCAAGGCAGAGAGAGAGGCUCUCUGAGAAACUUCACUUUUCUUAAUGUUACACAUUUGGCUUUGGCAUAAGAUUACCUUUGACCGAAGACUGUAUCAGUGAAAAACAUAACAGAAAAUGUUUCAAAGCGACUGGUUUAGAUGGUGUCUAAUGCCACAGACCUCUACAAUUGGAAGUGAUAAGACAAGAAUCCCUGGAGAAUGCAGAUAAUCAAAACUGCAGCUAAUUAGAAUAUAACUGAGAGCUGGUUCAUCAUUAAUCCAAUAUCUUUUGUAUAUAAAGCUGUACUAAAUACCUCACUUUCAAUUAGUCUCGCAUUCCAUCCCUGUCAUUAUAAUACGAAUAUUUUAGCAGCAGCAAAGCAAAAAAGUAACCCUACCAAGUGUUUGCUUGAUGAAGUCAAUACUCUUCCAAUGGGCAAAUGAUAUGGGCGAACUGUCUCAGACGGUGUGCUCUAGGAGGAAAAUCUUUGAACCAAAUAUAUGGAGUUGAAAACAUCAGCACAGCCCCUUCUGAGCAGUCUUAACUUUGGCGAAGUAUUUAGCAUGUCAGAGUCUAUGUUUCCUCAUCUAUGAGGUGGAAGAGAUUAUACAAGUCCACAAAUCUGCCCUGAGAGUCCCUGACCCACUCGUUAUAUAAUUCAUUCAGUAAAUGUUUAGGGAGAACCAAAUACAUGCCAAGCAUAGCUCAGGAUAAAAACACAACAGUGAAUUGCUACGAUAAUGGAAGGUUCCCCAAACCAUUGUACAUCUGCAAUUAUCAGUGGUCUUUAGGAGGACACAUGUCUGCCAAACGCAGUGUCAGUGCAACCAGAGUCACCCAACAAAUGCUAAUUGCCUUCCUUCUUAACCUUCCUUUCUUGAUAGCAUAAUUAAAUUAUAGUAAGUAAGGGUGGAAGAGAGCCAUGCCAUUCACAUGUGACCCUCUCUCCCCCUCCCUCUUCACACUUACCCUGUCCGUCUCAUUCUCCCUAGCCUGGUCACUGGCUCUCUUGUGCUUCUGGAUUUGUGAAAGCAGUUCAAAGGGCUGAGGUAGGGAAAAGAACUAGGGAGCUAAGUCUCUUUUAUGAAGAUUCAGGAUUGUGGGAGAGGAAACAUAGGUGAAGAAGAGCAGUGCUGGGCAAGAAUGAAGGGGAGAGACUGGGGAGUGGUGUCUGAAUGGCUCUGGAGCAGCUCCAGGGCACCAAAUUUGGGGGGAGUGAAGAAACACCAUGGAGGGAAGAGAAGUACAUCCUGUUGCUCUGAGAUCCUCAAAUAAAGCCUGAAUUUCCUUUUAAUUAACCUUAAGCAUCUGAGCUGUACUUCUUGAAUGCAACUGUGAGUGGGGAGUGAGGCAACCCAGGGCCUCAAGCUGUAUUCAAAACUCACAAUAUCAAACCUGUGGUUCUCUGAAAAUCUGGAAAGGAGAGUUUAAAAAGGAGACAAACUGGCAGUGACAAAUAUGUGUCCAAAAUACAUCCCUGAUGGGCUUCUCUGAAUAGAGAAACUUUUGAUGAAUUUAAAAUCAAGCCACCAAACAAGAAUUUCCUGAACAUGGAAUACUGUAAUACCUCCAAACCAGGAGCCAUCUUAUUAGCAACCUAGGCUCCCCCCACCUGGUGUGACCCUAGGGAGAAGGCUGCAGAUCCCACUGCUUCUGGAACCUCAGGGAGGUCAGGGAGCAUUUGCUGCCUGGAUGAUGCACUCAGAGCGGAAAACCAGCUCAGAAGUACUUUGAUCCUCCUUUUGUUUCUUAUGUUUUCCUUUUGGGCCAAUGACUUUUUUCAGACACUAAUAAUUUACACUUCAGGCAAACAUCAAAGUAUAGUAAUGCCCUGAAUAGUAAUUACUGCGCUGGUGAUGGAAUCAAGCAUCUCAAAGAACCCUAAGUUAAUUAGCUACAGACCUAGUUACCUUUAGGCCAAUGAAGAAGGCAAGGAACACUGGAUUAGAACCUGCCUUCAAUUUAUGGCUUUAUUAAUUCCAGCAUUCCAAUCAGUCUGAGACCCCUAUCUGUCAACCUUCAGCAUCUGAGCUGACGGCUGUUGUGGGGACCAGACACCAACUGAGACCCAGUCACGACAUCCAGGGAAGAAACUUGGACUUUCAUUGUUUUCUGUCAUUAUUUUCUCAAUUACUGAGCAUUUUUGUUUAUCAGUGCACAGAAUAGUUUCAACCUUUCCAUAACAUACAUGUUUAGGGACAAAGAUCGAGAGAAGGACAGGUGUAAAAGUGAGAUUUAUUCAUUCUUAACCAAAUAUCUACUCAAAGUCAUUUUUCUAUACACAGCUCGUUUUUAGCCUUCCUAAUUCUUACUCAUCUUUCUGAGAAAUUUUUUAUUUAGCUUUUUGUAAAAAUCCACACUUUAAAGAAGCAUUGGAUACAGAUAACAUUCCUUAUUUAUAUGUCUCUGUGACUGUGGCAGAUUUCCACGUAAUCCUCUUAGAGGAGGACCCACAUUUGCUAGCCUACUUAGGAUGUUACUAAAGGUGUGUAUCAACACGCCUCUUGCGGAUGGCUUGGGGAUAUUUCUUCCAGGCUUCCCCUGAACUCUUUGUGUUGGAUCAGUCCCCCAGGAGAAGGCAUUUGAAAUGCAGCAGAACCAGCAUCCUGUCCUCAGGUGCUGACACUGAAAUAGCGUGCCACACAUAUACCUACAAUGACCUAAGUUGUCAAAUGGAAAAUGGAAACUCAAGUAACUUAA